rnacentral:tRNA from 1 species
UGGGGUGUAGCUCAAUGGUAGAGCACUUGCUUGCAUGCACAAAGCUCUGGGUUUGAUCCCUAGUACCACAA